rnacentral:rRNA from 1 species
AGUGAACGCUGGCGGCAGGCCUAACACAUGCAAGUCGAACGGAAGAACAGUAAGAGCUCGCUCUUACGGGUGGCGACGGGCGGGUGAGUCAGGAAUAUAUCGCAAUCAUCUGUUUCUAGGGUGCUAACGCAGGCAAACUUACGCUAAUACCGCAUACGUCGUAAGGGUGAAAGCAGCGGAGCUCACGCUCUUAGGUGAGCCUAUGAGCCGAUGUCGGAUUAGCUAGUUGGCGGGGUAAAGGCCCACCAAGGCGACGAUCCGUAGCUGGUCUGAGAGGAUGAUCAGCCACACUGGAACUGAGACACGGUCCAGACUCCUACGGGAGGCAGCAGUGGGGAAUAUUGGACAAUGGGCGAAAGCCUGAUCCAGCCAUGCCGCGUGUGUGAAGAAGGUCUUCGGAUUGUAAAGCCCUUUUAUUUGGGAAGAAAAGCAGUAAGUUAAUACCUUGCUGUUUUGACGGUACCAACAGAAUAAGCACCGGCUAACUUCGUG